CGACGAUCAGGAGUGUGGCCAUACGUGGUUGUCGUCUAGAUACCAGGAAAACGGUUACGACGGACGAGCUUUGUACGGUUAUCGUUGUCCCGAACACCCACUGCACAGCUUCGGGAUAUUCCAUGACCAAGAUGGAAUGCUUUAUGUAAAGUGAUCAGUGAAUAGUCAGUGGAAACUUUUGAGUUUGGACUUGUUUCAAAGUCUAUGAUAGUAAACUUUGCACACAGACUUUACAAGAUGCAGGCAUUGCAUUCUCAUUCAAAAAGGACUGAUUAUGCAAACAGCACAACCCAAAACAGACCCUGGCAAAAUAAUAUUCAUUCGUUUCUUUGAUUCAUUGGGUCAAGGGACGGUUAAAUGAGGAUUAAAUGAUGAGAAUGAAUAACCUA